UAUUUAUUACACCGAGCUAUCACAGCUAACAUUGUUUUAUUUUUUGGUUAAAUCAAGCCAACUUAUUCGAAGCAUUCAUGUUGUGACAUGCCGCGACUAAUCCCAUGUAUUUAUUGGAUUUUAGUUGCCAGGGUUAACAAGGAAACGCGUUAGCCUCCCUACAUUUGGAAAGGUGACAUGUUAA
rnacentral:ncRNA from 1 species